UACGAAGGGGCGAGCGUUGUUCGGAUUUACUGGGCGUAAAGGGCGCGCAGGCGGCGCAUUUUGUCAGGCGUGAAAGCCCCGGGCUUAACCUGGGAACUGCGUUUGAUACGGAUGGGCUAGAGUUCGGGAGAGGAGAGUGGAAUUCCCAGUGGUAGGAGGUGAAAUUCGUAGAUAUCAGGAGGAACACCGGUGGCGAAGGCGGGUCUCUGGGCCGAUGACUGACGCUGAGGAGCGAAAGCGUGGGGAGCGAACAGG
rnacentral:rRNA from 1 species